UGAUACCCUAUUAUUUGAAAUGUAAGUUUGCAUGAUACUAUUAGUUUUUGAUCUUUAAAUCAAAAGGAUUUGACGGUGAUUUAAUCUUUUCAGAGGAACCUGUCCUUUAAUUGAUAAUCCACGAUAAAUUUUACCUUAAAAAAUUAUUUGUAUAUCUCUGUUUAUGAGUGUUUUAUUAGAAUUAAUUCUCGUUUAUUAUUUAUUUAAAUUAUAUCAGGUCAAGGUGCAGUUAUUUUAAGGGUUGAGAUGGGUUACAAUAAUUAUAUAAUUUUGGAUUAAAUAUAAAUUGUAUUAUUUUUAUGAAAUUGGAUUUGAAUGUAAUUUGUAUUA
rnacentral:rRNA from 1 species